AGCUAAUGCCUUUACUGGUGUUNGUUUCAAGAACUUNUCUAAACCUUAUUAUUUAGAGGAAGGUGAAGUCGUAACAAGGUUUCCGUAGGUGAACCUGCGGAAGNAUCAUUACCACACAAUAAUCCAAACCGCGCUUACAUUAAACCCAUAGGCUCUGGCCCUGCUAACUAGUGGUAAACCCCUCUGUAACCCAUCGAGUCUCUCUGGUGUUUACGACCUUAUAAGAUCUCAUUAUGUGCCACUGCCGUGAUGAUGCAACCUGGAGGCCAACGAGUACGAUCCACCAAUUUAAAUUCAAUCGACAGCUUGACGAGAGUCAAGUUUAAAAGUAUAACAUUCCAAUACAACUUUCAGCAAUGGAUGUCUUGGUUCCCAACACAAUGAAGAACACAGCGAAAUGUGAUACGUAAUACGAAUUGCAAGACUUUGUGAAUCAUUGAAUUUUUGAACGCAUAUUGCGCNGCCAGAUUCUUUCUGGGAGCAUACACGACAGAGUAUCAUCAAACCCCAAUCUAUAACAUUAUUUGUUAUGGGCAAGUGAAGUUGGCUUUAAACAAAGCACUCCUUCUAAGUUAUUUAGUGCAGAGGCAUUUUCACAUUGUAGGAAACUCAGUGUAUUUGUUUCAACGUGCUAUUGGUCAAAAUUCACUUUUUGACUGUCUUCUUAACUGAUCUCUGACUGUGUAGGACUACCCGCUGAAUUU
rnacentral:rRNA from 1 species